rnacentral:misc_RNA from 1 species
UACGGAGGGUGCAAGCGUUAUCCGGAAUCAUUGGGCGUAAAGCGUCUGCAGGCUGUUUAUUAAGUUAGGCAUUAAAGCCCGGGGCUCAACUCCGGAAAUGUGUCUAAAACUGAUAAACUAGAGUAGUGGAGAGGCAUGUGGAAUUCUGUGUGUAGGGGUAAUAUCCGUAGAUACACAGAGGAACACCAAAAGCGAAGGCAGCAUGCUGGCCACUUACUGACGCUCAGAGACGAAAGCGUGGGUAGCGAACAGG